UUACCUGGUCUUGACAUCCCGGAGACCCUUAGGAACUAGGGGUGCUUCCAUCUGGAAGAAUCUGGAGCAGGUGCUGCAUGGCUGUCGUCAGCUCGUGUCGUGAGAUGUUGGGUUAAGUCCCGCAACGAGCGCAACCCUUGCCUUUAGUUGCCAGCAGUUCGGCUGGGCACUCUAAAGGGACUGCCGGUGUUAAACCGGAGGAAGGUGGGGAUGACGUCAAGUCCUCAUGGCCUUUAUGACCAGGGCUACACACGUACUACAAUGGCCGAUACAAAGGGCAGCGACACUGCGAGGUGAAGCCAAUCCCGUAAAAUCGGUCUCAGUCCGGAUUGGAGUCUGCAACUCGACUCCAUGAAGUUGGAAUCGCUAGUAAUCGUGGAUCAGCAUGCCACGGUGAAUACGUUCCCGGGCCUU
rnacentral:rRNA from 1 species